rnacentral:rRNA from 1 species
AUUGAACGCUGGCGGUAUGCUUAACACAUGCAAGUCGAACGGUAGCAGGCCUUCGGGCGCUGACGAGUGGCGGACGGGUGAGUAACGCGUAGGAAUCUGCCUAUUAGUGGGGGACAACAUUCCGAAAGGAAUGCUAAUACCGCAUACGCCCUACGGGGGAAAGCAGGGGAUCUUCGGAUCUUGCGCUAAUAGAUGAGCCUAAGUCGGAUUAGCUAGUUGGUGGGGUAAAGGCCUACCAAGGCGACGAUCUGUAGCGGGUCUGGGAGGAUGAUCCGCCACACUGGGACUGAGACACGGCCCAGACUCCUACGGGAGGCAGCAGUGGGGAAUAUUGGACAAUGGGGGGAACCCUGAUCCAGCCAUGCCGCGUGUGUGAAGAAGGCCUUAUGGUUGUAAAGCACUUUAAGCGAGGAGGAGGCUCUUUUGGUUAAUACCCAAGAUGAGUGGACGUUACUCGCAGAAUAAGCACCGGCUAACUCUGUGCCAGCCGCCGCCGUAA